CAUGUAGGUGGUCUGUCAAGUCUGAUGUGAAAGCCCAGGGCUCAACCCCGGAAGUGCAUUGGAAACUGGCAGACUUGAGUACGGGAGAGGAAAGUGGAAUUUCGAGUGUAGGGGUGAAAUCCGUAGAUAUUCGAAGGAACACCAGUGGCGAAGGCGGCUUUCUGGACCGAUACUGACGCUGAGAUGCGAAAGCGUGGGGAGCAAACAGGAUUAGAUACCCUGGUAGUCC
rnacentral:rRNA from 1 species